rnacentral:rRNA from 1 species
UACGGGGGGAGCAAGCGUUGUUCGGAUUUACUGGGCGUAAAGGGCGCGUAGGCGGCCACCGCAAGUCGACUGUGAAAUCUCCGGGCUUAACCCGGAAAGGUCAGCCGAUACUGCGGGGCUAGAGUGCAGAAGGGGCAACUGGAAUUCUCGGUGUAGCGGUGAAAUGCGUAGAUAUCGAGAGGAACACCUGCGGCGAAGGCGGCCCUCUGGACCGGUACUGACGCUGAUGCGCGAAAGCGUGGGGAGCAAACGGG